UGAUGCUCUGCACCCAGGCUCGGCCAUCUGGCUCCUUGGCUGGUUCCUGCCCUGUGCUGCUGUUUCAUUUUCUGGGAAGAAGCCACCAAGACUCAUUCCUCAGCCUUCCCAAGUCUGACCAGCAGGCCACGACUUGCUACUGUGGAGCCCUCUUUUUAGUAACGGCCACGCUGUGUUUUCAGAUGUUGAGAAGUUCCCUCAUGACUUUUCCCCGAAGAAGAAAACUUUUUCACAGUAAAUCCCUUGUGAGACUUAAAGAUGUCAGGGCUUACAUGUGGGGGAAGGUCCUCGCCUUUCUGGGACAGGAAUCGCCACGGUUGGAGGAGGCUGACGUGGUGGAGAAUCACAAAUACUACCUGGAUGAAUUUGCAAAUCUGUUAGAUGAACUUCUGAUGAAGAUUAAUGGUUUGUCUGACAGCCUACAACUCCCUCUUCUAGAAAAACAAUCCAGCAGUACAGGGGAGGCAAGAGCAGAAGACCGUCCCUUGGUGGGCGCUUCUGGUUACCAG